GCCUGACUGCGUACUUCUGGGGCCACGUGGUGUCUGGCUGACGGGUCCGUCUGUAACUCUGGUGUUCGUAUUUUUGAGGUUCUACUGUACUUAGUCCUGCCUUGAGUGCAGGGGACGGGACUAGGACGGUCCUUCCAGUGCUGUGAUUCCAUGGACAGGACUAAUGAGAAUAAACCAUCCCUCAUUCAGACUGGUCCAGAAGCAACCCUGCAGACCCACCUCCUUGUAUUUGAGGCCGAGAAAUCCAGAAAAGAAAACCGCGUUGUGUGUUUAGAAAUGAGAAAGGAACUCUUUCCGAAGCCUACAUACAAAUGAACUUUUAAAUUUGAGGAGACAGAAUAAAAACUGGUCCCAGUUACCAGGGAAAUUAUGUCUUGUUUAUACUAAUCUGGAAUAUAUAUGGGGAUGGGCAUUACAUAAAAUCAAAUUUUGCAUACUACAAAUCUGUAAAAUGCAAAAGGUGUGUUUAAUAGAAUUUUCUAUAUCGUUUCAUUAAUUUUUUUAGAUAAAGAAAAAAUAUUAAAAAUCAUCAGUAUU